rnacentral:rRNA from 1 species
ACGAACGCUGGCGGCAUGCCUAACCCCUGCAAGUCGCACGAGACCUUCGGGUCUAGUGGCGCACGGGUGCGUAACGCGUGGGAACCUGCCCUUAGGUUCGGAAUAACUCCCCGAAAGGGGUGCUAAUACCGGAUCAUGUCUUCGGACCACAGAUUUAUCGCCUUUGGAUGGGCCCGCGUUGGAUUAGCUAGUUGGUAGGGUAAAAGCCUACCAAGGCGACGAUCCAUAGCUGGUCUGAGAGGAUGAUCAGCCACACUGGGACUGAGACACGGCCCAGACUCCUACGGGAGGCAGCAGUGGGGAAUAUUGGACAAUGGGCGAAAGCCUGAUCCAGCAAUGCCGCGUGAGUGAUGAAGGCCUUAGGGUUGUAAAGCUCUUUUACCCGGGAUGAUAAUGACAGUACCGGGAGAAUAAGCUCCGGCUAACUCCGUG